UGCAAUAGCUCAGUGGGUAGAGCAUGACACUUUUAAUCUCAGGGCCGUGUGUUUGAGCCCCACAUUGGGCAA